ensembl:lncRNA
UGCAGACAUAAAACCAGAUGUGGCCUGGCUUAUCCACUAAGGUUUUCUAUAGUAACUGGAACUGCUCCAAAAAACCUCCUUAAGGUUGAUUUCAAUGUCACCUUAGGAUUUCUCUACUUUUUAUCUACAAAUCUCAUUUCUGCAAGAUUAAUCCAACACUACGAAAGUUUCAUGUUCAAGGGGAUUUGAACUUCAGAUGAUUAAAUUUCAAAUGUUGCAAGACUGUUGCAUAAAAUGCAUCACCCAGGACAUGGGAAUACUGUUUCAAGUCUUCGCUCUGUCAUUGACUUCGUGCACGAUUAAGAUUGAUCCAUUCCUUGCUCUUCCUCUCCUUUCAUGUAAAAGAGAGUGAAUAUUUUCAUGUUUUGUAUGGUUUUGCUAAAGACUCAAAGUUGUUUAAAUAUUUGAGUCAUGG